AAUUUUUCCGCUGGGGGGUUUUGGCACCACGACCUUCGGGAGCUUAUUUUUGGGCGCGGCUUUGCCCGCGGCUUAUUUUUGGCACCCCGAGGCCCUGCGCAAAGUCUCGCCCCAUUUCGAGUCCGGCGGACGAACUUCGCCCGCGCCCCCCACCAAGGCUAUAGCCCACCCGUUUUUUGGCCAUUUUUCCGCUGGGGGGUUUUGGCACCACGACCUUCGGGCGCUUAUUUUUGGACGUGGCUGUGCCCGCGACUUCCCGCGGGCACCCCGAGGCCCCUCGCAAAGUCUCGCCCCAUUCCGAGUCCGGCGGACAAACUUCGCCCGCGCCCCCCACCAAGGCUAUAGCCCACCCGUUUUUUGGCCAUUUUUCCGCUGGGGUGUUUUGGCACCACGACCUUCGGGCGCUUAUUUUUGGAUGCGGCUGUGCCCGCGACUUCCCGCGGGCACCCCGAGGCCCCUCGCAAAGUCUCGCCCCAUUCCGAGUCCGGCGGACGAACUUCGCCCGCGCCCCCCACCAAGGCUAUAGCCCACCCGUUUUUUGGCCAUUUUUCCGCUGGGGGGUUUUGGCACCAAGACCUUCGGGCGCGGCUUUGUCCGCGGCUUAUUUUUGGCACCCCGAGGCCCCUCGCAAAGUCUCGCCCCAUUCCGAGUCCGGCGGACGAACUUCGCCCGCGCCCCCCACCAAGGCUAUUGCCCACCCGGUUUUUGGCCAUUUUUCCGCUGGGGGGUUUUGGCACCACGACCUUCAGGCGCUUAUUUUUGGACGCGGCUGUGCCCGCGACUUCCCGCGGGCACCCCGAGGCCCCUCGCAAAGUCUCGCCCCAUUCCGAGUCCGGCGGACGAACUUCGCCCGCGCUCCCCACCAAGGCUAUAGCCCACCCGUUUUUUGGCCAUUUUUCCGCUGGGGGGUUUUGGCACCACGAUCUUCGGGCGCUUAUUUUUGGGCGCGGCUUUGCCCGCGGCUUAUUUUUGGCGCCCCGAGGCCCCGCGCAAAGUCUCGCCCCAUUCCGACUCCGGCGGACGAACUUCGCCCGCGCCGCCCACCAAGGCUAUAGCCCACCCGUUUUUUGGCCAUUUUUCCGCUGGGGGGUUUUGGCACCACGACCUUUGGGCGCUUAUUUUUGGGCGUGGUUUUGCCCGCGGCUUAUUUUUGGCGCCCCGAGGCCCCGCGCAAAGUCUCGCCCCAUUCCGAGUCCGGCGGACAAACUUCGCCCGCGCCCCCCACCAAGGCUAUAGCCCACCCGUUUUUUGGCCAUUUUUCCGCUGGGGGGUUUUGGCACCACGACCUUCGGGCGCUUAUUUUUGGACGUGGCUGUGCCCGCGACUUCCCGCGGGCACCCCGAGGCCCCUCGCAAAGUCUCGCCCCAUUCCGAGUCCGGCGGACGAACUUCGCCCGCGCCCCCCACCAAGGCUAUAGCCCACCCAUUUUUUGGCCAUUUUUCCGCUGGGGGGUUUUGGCACCACGACCUUCGGGUGCUUAUUUUUGGACGCGGCUGUGCCCGCGACUUCCCGCGGGCACCUCGAGGCCCCUCGCAAAGUCUCGCCCCAUUCCGAGUCCGGCGGACGAACUUCGCCCGCGCCCCCCACCAAGGCUAUAGCCCACCCGUUUUUUGGCCAUUUUUCCGCUGGGGGGUUUUGGCACCACGACCUUCGGGCGCUUAUUUUUGGACGUGGCUGUGCCCGCGACUUCCCGCAGGCACCCCGAGGCCCCUCGCAAAGUCUCGCCCCAUUCCGAGUCCGGCGGAUGAACUUCGCCCGCGCCCCCCACCAAGGCUAUAGCCCACCCGUUUUUUGGCCAUUUUUCCGCUCAGAGGUUUUGGCACCAAGACCUUCCGGCGCUUAUUUUUGGGCGCGGCUUUGUCCGCGGCUUAUUUUUGGCACCCCGAGGCCCCUCGCAAAGUCUCGCCCCAUUCCGAGUCCGGCGGACGAACUUCGCCCGCGCCCCCCACCAAGGCUAUUGCCCACCCGGUUUUUGGCCAUUUUUCCGCUGCGGGGUUUUGGCACCACGACCUUCAGGCGCUUAUUUUUGGACGCGGCUGUGCCCGCGACUUCCCGCGGGCACCCCGAGGCCCCUCGCAAAGUCUCGCCCCAUUCCGAGUCCGGCGGACGAACUUCGCCCGCGCUCCCCACCAAGGCUAUAGCCCACCCGUUUUUUGGCCAUUUUUCCGCUGGGGGGUUUUGGCACCACGACCUUCGGGCGCUUAUUUUUGGGCGUGGCUUUGCCCGCGGCUUAUUUUUGGCGCCCCGAGGCCCCGCGCAAAGUCUCGCCCCAUUCCGAGUCCGGCGGACGAACUUCGCCCGCGCCCCCCACCAAGGCUAUAGCCCACCCGUUUUUUGGCCAUUUUUCCGCUGGGGGGUUUUGGCACCACGACCUUCGGGCGCUUAUUUUUGGGCGCGACUUUGCCCGCGGCUUAUUUUUGGCGCCCCGAGGCCCCGCGCAAAGUCUCGCCCCAUUCCGAGUCCGGCGGACGAACUUCGCCCGCGCCCCCCACCGAGGCUAUAGCCCACCCGUUUUUUGGCCAUUUUUCCGCUGGGGGGUUUUGGCACCACGACCUUUGGGCGCUUAUUUUUGGGCGCGGCUUUGCCCGCGGCUUAUUUUUGGCGCCCCGAGGCCCCGCGCAAAGUCUCGCCCCAUUCCGAGUCCGGCGGACGAACUUCGCCCGCGCCCCCCACCGAGGCUAUAGCCCACCCGUUUUUUGGCCAUUUUUCCGCUGGGGGGUUUUGGCACCACGACCUUCGGGCGUUUAUUUUUGGGCGCGGCUUUGCCCGCGGCUUAUUUUUGGCACCCCGAGGCCCCGCGCAAACUCUCGCCCCAUUCCGAGUCCGGCGGACGAACUUCGCCCGCGCCCCCCACCAAGGCUAUAGCCCACCCGUUUUUUGGCCAUUUUUCCGCUGGGGGGUUUUAGCACCACGACCUUCGGGCGCUUAUUUCUGGACGCGGCUGUGCCCGCGACUUCCCGCGGUCACCCCGAGGCCCCUCGCAAAGUCUCGCCCCAUUCCGAGUCCGGCGGACGAACUUCGCCCGCGCCCCCCACCAAGGCUAUAGCCCACCCGUUUUUUGGCCAUUUUUCCGCUGGGGGGUUUUGGCACCACGACCUUCGGGCGCUUAUUUUUGGGCGCGGCUUUGCCUGCGGCUUAUUUUUGGCACCCCGAGGCCCCUCGCAAAGGCUCGCCCCAUUCCGAGUCCGGCGGACGAACUUCGCCCGCGCCCCCCACCAAGGCUAUAGCCCACCCGUUUUUUGGCCAUUUUUCCGCUGGGGGGUUUUGGCACCACGACCUUCGGGCGCUUAUUUUUGGGCGCGGCUUUGCCCGCGGCUUAUUUUUGGUACCCCGAGGCCCCUCGCAAAGUCUCGCCCCAUUCCGAGUCCGGCGGACGAACUUCGCCCGCGCCCCCCACCAAGGCUAUAGCCCACCCGUUUUUUGGCCAUUUUUCCGCUGGGGGGUUUUGGCACCACGACCUUCGGGCGCUUAUUUUUGGGCGCGGCUUUGCCCGCGGCUUAGUUUUGGCACCCCGAGGCCCCUCGCAAAGUCUCGCCCCAUUCCGAGUCCGGCGGACGAACUUCGCCCGCGCCCCCCACCAAGGCUAUAGCCCACCCGUUUUUUGGCCAUUUUUCCGCUGGGAGGUUUUGGCACCACGACCUUCGGGCGCUUAUUUUUGGGCGCGGCUUUUCCCGCGGCUUAUUUUUGGCACCCCGAGGCCCCUCGCAAAGUCUCGCCCCAUUCCGAGUCCGGCGGACGAACUUCGCCCGCGCCCCCCACCAA
rnacentral:lncRNA from 1 species